AUUGAACGCUGGCGGCAGGCUUAACACAUGCAAGUCGAACGAGUGGCGGACGGGUGAGUAAUGCUUGGGAAUCUAGCUUAUGGAGGGGGAUAACUACGGGAAACUGUAGCUAAUACCGCGUACCAUAGGAUGAGCCCAAGUGGGAUUAGGUAGUUGGUGAGGUAAAGGCUCACCAACCGACGAUCUCUCGCUGGUCUGAGAGGAUGACCAGCGACACGGGGACUGAGACACGGCCCAGACUACGACGGGAGGCAGCAGGGGGGAAGAUUGCGCAAUGGGGGCAACCAUGAUGCAGCGACGCCGCGUGGGGGAUGAAGGCUUUCGGGUUGUAAACCUCUGUCGCGAGCGAACGGGUAGGUGGAGAAGAAGCGCCGGCUAACUACGUGCCAGCAGCCGCGGUAAUAC
rnacentral:rRNA from 1 species